GACGAACGCUGGCGGCGUGCUUAACACAUGCAAGUCGAACGGAAAGGCCCUGCUCUUGUGGGGUGCUCGAGUGGCGAACGGGUGAGUAACACGUGAGUAACCUGCCCUUGACUUUGGGAUAACUUCAGGAAACUGGGGCUAAUACCGGAUAGGAGCUCCUGCUGCACGGUGGGCGUUGGAAAGUUUCGGCGGUUGGGGAUCGACUCGCGGCUUAUCAGCUUGUUGGUGGGGUAGUGGCUUACCAAGGCUUUGACGGGUAGCCGGCCUGAGAGGGUUACCGGCCACAUUGGGACUGAGAUACGGCGCAGACUCCUACGUGAGGCAGCAGUGGGGAAUCUUGCACAAUGGGCGGAAGCCUGAGGCAGAAACGCCGCGUGCGUGAUGACGGCCUUCGAGUGGUAAACCGCUUUGGCCUGUGACGAAGCGGGAGUGACGGUAAUGGGUAAAGAAGCACCGGCUAACUACGUG
rnacentral:rRNA from 1 species